UUUUGCUUUUUUGUUCAAAGUGAACUUUUAUGAUUAUAAUUCUCUAGCUUUUCAGUUCAUAGUUGCUACAGAUCUUCAGCAGUUUGCCAUUCAGUCCCAUUUUGUCUGUUCCUUUCUGAAGUUGUGUGCAGCUUAGUGACCCCAGGAAAGCCCUUCCUGAUGGCAUGCAGCUAACUUAAGGGUGUCAAACUUCCUAUUGAUAGGAGCUGUUGAACUUGACAGCCUCGGAUAGAGGGUAAGGAACUGCAAACCAUAUUAACAUGCUGAAACAGCAUCAGCUUAGAUAACAUGCAAAAGGAGACACAUUUUGAUCACUGGGAAUUUAUUUACUUUAAGAGAAAAAGUGAUGGAUUGUGAGGACCUCAAUUCUC